ACGUCUCCAAUUCCUAAAAUCUCGCCUUCAAUCUCUCUAUAUUAUCAAAUCAGUUAUCUAAUUCAAAUCAAUUUGAAUUUCAAACGAUUUCCAACUCUUUUCAACCACCUGUAAAGUUCAAAACAGGUAUUAUCAUCUUCUUCGUUUUGCUUUUCUUUUUUUCUUUAAUCGUUUUUGGCUCUUGCAUUAUGGAUCCUUUAUCUUUUAGUUUUGGGAUUACCUAAAUAGUAUCACCGAACAAUAAUUUCAUAUUUGAUUAAGAAGAUCCCAACUGGGCAGAACUGAGAUCUAAGAGGUUGCAUGAACUGACAAUAAUGGUAAAUCGAAGUUCUAAGAAGUCAAAAUCAAAAAAGGAAGUACAUGCAUCAUCUAAAACAAAGGAUGCAAAAACUCCAAAGAAAAGGGGUAGAAAGGUUGCCCCUCCUAUAUCUCGACCCACACUACCAAUG
rnacentral:lncRNA from 1 species